GCCAGCUUUGAGGAGUCAGUGUGGCACAGAGACUUGCUGUGGUCUGGCUUCCUCGAGGAAGGAACUGUUGCAGGUGUUCACAUGUAUCAGUGCUAUUUAGAGCUACAUGCCCAAAGGCUGUUUGGCCAGCUGGGGAUCUGAUUCUGGUCUCCUAGCUGCUUGUUUUGGUUUCAAAUCUCCUGACUCUUGGGUUUCAGCAGCAUCUGGGAGGCCAAAUGCGUGCUGAGAUUAGCAUGUGCAGGGUCUGUCCUUGGCCCUUUCCAUAGUUUCCCUAAGAGAGUCAUUAGGUUGACCCCUAGAUCUGGCCUAAAUCCAUCGGCUUACGUAUUUAUAUUGGGCUUCACAGGCUGCAUGGAAACCCUUCGCUAGCGUCCCACAUGGAAUCCAAGAGCAGAAGGGGAAGAAUCUCAUCGGUCCAGCUCUACUCAGAUGGAGUCUUGCUCUGUCACCCAGGCUGGAGUGUAGUGGCGUGAUCUCGGCUCCCCACAACGUCUGCUUCCCGGAUUCAAGCGAUUCUCCUACCUUAGCCUCCCAACAGUUCACUGAGCACGUGACUCAUGCCACCACCUAUUGAUGUCUUGGGAUUCUGGAGCAUCAGCUGGCCUCUGCUAUCAAUAAGCCUGCUUCGGGCAGCUUCCUCUCCCUUUUUAUGGAAUGGACUAAGAAAUCUACAUGGUUGGGGUUGUGCGAAAAUCAAGAGCAGUGAGGUUUAGGCUGGAGAUCUGGAGACAUUCGUUACAGAAUAAAACAUAUGAAACAGUGCACGGGCUUUGUGACAGCUUGUUUGUCUCCUCAGAAGCCAUUUUUGCUCAGUCCUACAUUUAGAAAGAACCCAGAUUCAACUAGAAAUUGGCUCUCUGAAUACAGAGGAUGCCUUUGAAUUCCGAUUUUGUCAGUAGGGGUGAUGGAGAACACUGGCAUCUCUGCAAUAUGCUUUUGAAAAUAAAAUGCUUCAUAAUAAAAUGCUCUGGCCGUUUCCCCUAAAUCCCAUUUCCCCCCCCCAAUUCAGCCGCCUGACGUCCUAAAACAUUGCCCUAACAUCUAUACAUUCAUCUUAAUCUGAGGCACCCA
rnacentral:lncRNA from 1 species